GACGAACGCUGGCGGCGUGCCUAAUACAUGCAAGUCGAACGCAUUUUCUUUCACCGUAGCUUGCUACACCGAAAGAAAAUGAGUGGCGAACGGGUGAGUAACACGUGGGUAACCUGCCCAUCAGCGGGGGAUAACACUUGGAAACAGGUGCUAAUACCGCAUAAUUCCAUUUACCGCAUGGUAAAUGGAUGAAAGGCGCUUUUGCGUCACUGAUGGAUGGACCCGCGGUGCAUUAGCUAGUUGGUGGGGUAACGGCCUACCAAGGCUGCGAUGCAUAGCCGACCUGAGAGGGUGAUCGGCCACACUGGGACUGAGACACGGCCCAGACUCCUACGGGAGGCAGCAGUAGGGAAUCUUCGGCAAUGGACGCAAGUCUGACCGAGCAACGCCGCGGGAGUGAAGAAGGUUUUCGGAUCGUAAAACUCUGUUGUUAGAGAAGAACAAGGAUGAGAGUGGAAAGUUCAUCCCUUGACGGUAGCUAACCAGAAAGCCACGGCUAACUACGUG
rnacentral:rRNA from 1 species